rnacentral:rRNA from 1 species
UACGAAGGGGGCUAGCGUUGUUCGGAAUUACUGGGCGUAAAGGGAGCGUAGGCGGACAUUUAAGUCAGGGGUGAAAUCCCGGAGCUCAACUCCGGAACUGCCUUUGAUACUGGGUGUCUUGAGUGUGAGAGAGGUAUGUGGAACUCCGAGUGUAGAGGUGAAAUUCGUAGAUAUUCGGAAGAACGCCAGUGGCGAAGGCGGCAUACUGGCUCAUUACUGACGCUGAGGCUCGAAAGCGUGGGGAGCAAACAGG